UAUUCGAGGAAGCGACUUCGGCCAGCGCUGCGGCGUAGCUUCCAGCGGCUGUGGCGGACAUUUUAGCGCCGCCGUGAGAGCGGUGGUGGCUGAGGCGGAGUCCGCGGGAAGGAAAAGUGGCGGAGAAGGAGAGGUUUACGGGAGUGGUUCGGGAGAAUCGGACGGUUGGAAGGAGCUUGGCCUGGAGAGAGGCGGCGGUUUGGUGAAGGGCGGCCAUUGA
rnacentral:misc_RNA from 1 species